rnacentral:rRNA from 1 species
CAAUAGCGUAUAUUAAAGUUGUUGCAGUUAGAACGCUCGUAGUCGGAUUUCGGGGCGGGCCGACCGGUCUGCCGAUGGGUACGCACUGGUCGGCGCGUCCUUCCUUCCGGAGACCGUGCCUACUCUUAACUGAGCGGGGGCGGGAGACGGAACGUUUACUUUGAAAAAAUCAGAGUGUUUCAAGCAGGCAGUGCGCUCUUGCAUGGAUUAGCAUGGGAUAAUGAAAUAGGGCUUUGGUGCUAUUUUGUUGGUUUCGAACACCGAAGUAAUGAUUAAAAGGGACAGUCAGGGGCACUCGUAUUCCGCCGAGAGAGGUGAAAUUCUCAGACCAGCGGAAGACGAACCACUGCGAAAGCAUUUGCCAGGGAUGUUUUCACUGA